AGCGAACGCUGGCGGCAGGCCUAACACAUGCAAGUCGAACGAACUCUUCGGAGUUAGUGGCGGACGGGUGAGUAACACGUGGGAACGUGCCCUUUGGUACGGAAUAACUCAGGGAAACUUGAGCUAAUACCGUAUGUGCCCUUCGGGGGAAAGAUUUAUCACCAUUGGAGCGGCCCGCGUCUGAUUAGCUAGUUGGUGAGGUAAAGGCUCACCAAGGCUACGAUCAGUAGCUGGUCUGAGAGGAUGAUCAGCCACAUUGGGACUGAGACACGGCCCAAACUCCUACGGGAGGCAGCAGUGGGGAAUCUUGCGCAAUGGGCGAAAGCCUGACGCAGCCAUGCCGCGUGAAUGAUGAAGGUCUUAGGAUUGUAAAAUUCUUUCACCGGGGACGAUAAUGACGGUACCCGGAGAAGAAGCCCCGGCUAACUUCGUG
rnacentral:rRNA from 1 species